rnacentral:lncRNA from 1 species
CGUGCCUUAGAGUCCUUGAUCAAGUGUAGGGAGUUUGGAUGGGUGAGGUCCGAGCAUACAUUAUAAAUUCAGGAUGAACUCUACAAUGCUAGAGAAGAAAUUUCAAAGUUGUAAAAGGUGUUGGAUAGCAAAAAGAUAGUCGCCGCUCCCAAGGAUGUAUAACAGUGAGAUAUCCAAGUGACUACUCCCAUCACCAUCGUCAGCUCAGGAGAGUCUCUUCCAGUUACCUACGACUAUAGGUCCCGAUCGGAAGAGCAAGAACCAAUAGGUCGAUCUUCGAUGGGAGGAGAAAGAGCUGCUUCUUCCCAACCCAAUGAACAGCUAAUAGAUAGUUCUCGAUUGAUGAUCCAUAUGACCUUUGCUGGCGGAUGUCAUUCUGGUUAUAGCCUUUGUCAGAAUGUAGUUCGAGUUUUAUACUCAAAACUUGAUCUGUCCGAGCUUCUUAAUCCUGAUAUGGACAUGGA